UUUAAAAUGAUGACUUUGAUUACCGCCCCAGUCUGAUGUUCUGUGACUGAUUGGUUUUUCUUAUCUGAU